rnacentral:lncRNA from 1 species
UUUCUUUGUUAUUUUGCUUCAGUUGAUUUGUUUCUUCCUUAGAGAAUUCCUUUGAAAAUGUUACCCAGUAGGCUAAUCCAACACAAGUUGCAUUGCAUUUUGCAUUUGCAAAAUCACUGCAUAUUGUUGUUGCAAAUUGGGCAACAACUAGCUUUCGAAUUAAGGCAUCAUCCAACGUUUUUGGGCCAUAGUGGGCUCAUGUAU